ACGCUCGACACCUAGGAGGCAGCAGUGGGGAAUAUUGCACAAUGGGGGAAACCCUGAUGCAGCGACGCCGCGUGAAGGAAGAAGUAUCUCGGUAUGUAAACUUCUAUCAGCAGGGAAGAAAGUGACGGUACCUGACUAAGAAGCCCCGGCUAACUACGUGCAAGCAGCCGCGGUAAUCUGAGCGGGCUGGCAAGGC
rnacentral:rRNA from 1 species